GGAGGAUCCGAGCGUUAUCCGGAUUUAUUGGGUUUAAAGGGUGCGUAGGCGGCCUAUUAAGUCAGGGGUGAAAUACGGUGGCUCAACCAUCGCAGUGCCUUUGAUACUGAUGGGCUUGAAUCCAUUUGAAGUGGGCGGAAUAAGACAAGUAGCGGUGAAAUGCAUAGAUAUGUCUUAGAACUCCGAUUGCGAAGGCAGCUCACUAAGCUGGUAUUGACGCUGAUGCACGAAAGCGUGGGGAUCGAACAGGAUUAGAUACCCUGGUAGUCCACGCCCUAAACGAUGAUAACUCGAUGUUGGCGAUAGACAGCCAGCGUCCAAGCGAAAGCGUUAAGUUAUCCACCUGGGGAGUACGCCCGCAAGGGUGAAACUCAAAGGAAUUGACGGGGGCCCGCACAAGCGGAGGAGCAUGUGGUUUAAUUCGAUGAUACGCGAGGAACCUUACCCGGGCUUGAAAGUUAGUGAAGAGUGCAGAGACGCACUCGUCCUUCGGGACACGAAACUAGGUGC
rnacentral:rRNA from 1 species